UAUCACUUAUACAUAAAUGAUCCUCUUCUCUCUAAGCUUCUAACUAAAGAUAAUUAUGUAAGUCACUAGAUUCCUGAGCAAACUGAAAGACUUUCCCAGCUGGAGCUUUACUUGGGGUGCAUGGUAGGGUGCAGUGGAGGACCACACCCAGAAGAUGGUGAAUGUCAACAUAUCCAGGCUGAGGUGACCUAAGGAGCUGCCCUGUUGGCAGCUGGAAGGGGUCUGAAGAGAGGAGAGGGCUGGGGUUCAAAGUCGAGCUGCAUGGGCUUCUUUUUUCCUUCUACCUAGGGUCCUCAGGAGCUGCCACCCAACCCCUAGCCUUUGAGGAUCCCAUGGUGAAAAACAUCUAUCUGGCUAUUAAUCAUACUAAGAAAUCUACAGGAAUACACUGAGCCAUUACAGCUUGCUGCUUUUGCACCACAAUUGUGAAGUUCAGAAGUUACCACAGAAUCUAUGUGAUCUGCAGAGAAUCGCUUGAACCUGGGAGGCAGAGGUUGCGGGAGGUGGAGGUUGCAGUCAGCCUAGAUCGAGAUGGCACCGCUGCACUCCAGCCUAGGUGAUAGAAUGAGACUGUCUCCGAAAAAAAAAAAAAAAGAUCUGACCCACAAAGCCUAAAUUAGUUACUAUCUGACUCCCCAGAAAAGUUUAUCCAGGUCUCCAACUCGCCCAAUACCUGGAUCAACACAAUGAAAGCACAGAAAGUGGACAAACAGAAGGAGAACAACUAUGAAGGCUCAUGAAAACUCAUGAUUUAAAGAUCACAUUUCUCCACCUGGACUGAUUUAAGAAUUGAGGUUAGUUGACUACUAUUAGCAAGACUUGCAAUUAUGGCAUGCAGGCACAUCCUCUUCUGUUCACUUGAGUUAUUUCUGUAUAGCAGUAGAUCAUGAGGACAUGGACAAAGGCAUUGCACUUACUUUCUCCUUGAGCAAUUUCCAUUGAUGUCUGUGAUGCUGAUACUGAAUUACAGAAUCCUGAGGAUUCUGUAUUGUUGUAGUUCUAAACCGUUUGCUGUGGAGGUUAGCCUGUGGAUAGGAAGAGUCAAACAAGAACAACUUAUACAGUUUCUCUGGCUAGAAAAUGAACAAUACAUGCUUCCUGUCCUUAUGAUGUUCCCACAUGUGGAUGGUGAAGCAGGCACCAAGAUGACUAAGCUAGAACAACAAGAUUUGGUGAAUCCAGAGCUGACGAAUAACAGUUCAUCUGGCAUGGAAGCAAAGGAGGAAGUUCCAGGGAAGGCAAAGGCCCAAAUUUGUGAAUCUGUGUGCCAUGUGCUGGGGAAAGUUGAAACCUUCCAAUGAACUAGAAUGAUGUUGUGUGUAUGGGAAGCCUAUGGACUCAAUGAGAAGAAUAAUUAGUGAAUGUGUCCAUGUUGUCUAUAUUUUACAUGGGUCAGAAGGAAGGAUUGAGUGCAGAAGACAAAAUGUUAAUCUGAAGUGGGGUCAUUUUCAUAUUUAGGCUUAAACAAGAAUAUAGACAUUACUAUUAAAGCAUAGAAAUAAAAAAAUGAUGAUUUUUUAAGUGUCAUAACUUCUAACUAUUUGCCAUCAUAUUUUUGGUUUACUCCCUUUCAAAUACACUUAAGCAUAAGUGUAGCCUAGAAGAGAGCAAGACCCAAUAUUUGGCUAGUUCAAGGAGUGACUUACAAGCAAAGCAGUUCCAACCAUGACCAAUUUCUUAAAUUUCUGAAGCAACCCAAGUAGCAAUACUGGGAAAAUAUGACUGAAUUUGCAAAAAAUCAAGUCACUUCUUUGGAAAGAUGUUAAACUCCAAAGAUCAAUGUAUAGACCUUUCCACUUAGCUUACAACUAGAUAAAACAUUCUUUUGACAUGAAAUGGCUUAGGACAAAUGCUUUAACAAAAGAACUGAUUAAACACUGCUGUUACUAAAGCCUCACAAUAGUUAAUGCACUUAAAGAGUUCUAAAUAGGCUGAGCAUUGACGUGUUAAAGGAUUAUAUUGAGUGUCACCAUAUACACAGGAAAGUCUCCUUCAAAACCUACUACGGAGUAUAAUGGACUAUACAUGUUGUUGUAAACAAAUUGGCAAGAUUCGAGGUUUUCUCUGGAUUCUAGCAUCUUUAAAAAGAGAAUGUCUGUUGUUUUAUAAAAGCAUUUAUUUACAUCUUUAUCAGGUAUCCUCCAGUCCCAAAUGUGAGAGGUUAGGGCAAUCUGUGGAUUGGGGUGGCUUUCUCUUCUAAGUCACUCCCAGACUAGGGAAGUGACUCAGAAGAGUCACUGAGUGGGGAAACAGAGAACCAGGGAUGGCUCUGUAGCUCUGACCUAACUUAAAGCUCCAGAUUGGUCUGACCUUUUCUCACUUUGCGAUUCAGACCUGAAAAAAAUGAGGCCGAAGUUGGCUCAUCUUCCUCCCUUGAAAAUGUUCUAAGGAGAUGAACCACAUCCUGUCCUAUCUCCCCCAAACCAUACCUCAGCACAGGGGCUUGUUUCAUUGGUACAAGAAUAAGUUGUCUUUCUUUUGCUAGAAAGCUCACAACUUUAAAACCUACAAAAAAUGAAUGAAUUAUAAUCUAGAACUUCAGAUAUCUGUAUCAUAAUAGUUGGAUAGGCUUAUGGAGUAUGAUAUGAUCUUUUGCAGCAAAAUCUCACUUUGUACUCAACAAAUACAUACAAUUAUUAUUUGAAAGUUCAAUUAAUUAGUUUAAAAAUCUGUAGAAAUAUCAGUGUCUUCUGGGGAGGAAAUUACUACGUGCAUGUCAAGAUUUGCCAAAAUUUUAAUACUUUGUUACCCUAUGUCACUUUUGUGAAGUGAUUAUAGGGAUAUUUUUCUAAAUAUAGAGUUUAUCAUAAGGAAGUUUUGUUAACAAUAGAAUCUUAAAAGUG